rfam:TPA: Bos taurus chromosome 1, whole genome shotgun sequence.
UCCCUGAUAUUUCAGUUGGUAAGAAUCUGCCUGCAAUGCAGGGGACCCUGGUUUGAUUCCUGGGUAGGGAA